ACUAACCCCGUAAAUGGGGUUCCAAAUCCAAAUCUGUCUCCUUUUUUCUGUUAAUUUCAGUUUGCAUAUCACAAGACUUCUUAACUCUGCAAACAGGGAUUUCAGCAUGGUGCAGUAAAAUUCACUUAUAUCUGCCCUCUCUGCGUCUGAGAAUUGGCUGUCUGUUUUCUCCAGGUAUUGUAACACUCACCUCUUCACCUGCCAUCCCUUUUACUUCCCAUAUAUCAGAUGGAUUCUGCUGGACCGGUAACAACCUAGGUUAAUAAGCUGUUCAGCGUCAUGGAAGUACUGAACCGUGUGUUGCUCCAGUUGCUAGGGUGAGCACUCAUUUUUUUAUUUAAAACCGUACAUGUAAAGAGCACAGUUCCCAGGCAGCUCUACCUU
rnacentral:lncRNA from 1 species